GACGAACGCUGGCGGCGUGCUUAACACAUGCAAGUCGAACGGAAAGGCCCUGCUUGCAGGGUGCUCGAGUGGCGAACGGGUGAGUAACACGUGGGUGAUCUGCCCCUUACUUUGGGAUAAGCCUGGGAAACUGGGUCUAGUACUGGAUAGGACCAUGCUGUAGGUGGUGUGGUGGAAAGAUUAGUUUCGGUAAGGGAUGAGCUCGCGGCCUAUCAGCUUGUUGGUGGGGUAAUGGCCUACCAAGGCGUCGACGGGUAGCCGGCCUGAGAGGGUGGACGGCCACAUUGGGACUGAGAUACGGCCCAGACUCCUACGGGAGACAGCAGUGGGGAAUAUUGCACAAUGGGCGCAAGCCUGAUGCAGCGACGCCGCGUGGGGGAUGACGGCCUUCGGGUUGUAAACUCCUUUCAGCCAUGACGAAGCCCUUGUGGUGACGGUAGUGGUAGAAGAAGCACCGGCUAACUACGUG
rnacentral:rRNA from 1 species